rnacentral:tRNA from 1 species
UUAGCUCAGUAGGUAGAGCAACUGACUUGUAAUCAGUAGGUCACCAGUUCGAUUCCGGUAGUCGGCACCA